rnacentral:lncRNA from 1 species
AGAGAUGUCGACCAGUCACUAAUACUGAAGCCAAUCCUAUCCAAAGGUCAAGAACACUACAAUAUAGUUGUUUGUUAACAAACUUUUUAUAUAUAUAUGCUAGGGCUACUAUAUUCUUAUGAGUAUAGAGUCCUUUAUACUAGUAAGUUUUCGGUCAUUAGAUGAAGGGAUGCGCGGUUAGGAUGAUAAUGGUCUCCGGUUAGGAUAAUAGUGG